GAUGAACGCUGGCGGCGCGCCUAACACAUGCAAGUCGAACGAUUAAAGCACCUUCGGGUGUGUAUAAAGUGGCGAACGGAUGAGUAACACGUGGGCAACCUGCCUAUCUCAUUGGGAUAGCCACGGGAAACCGUGGAUAAUACCGAAUACUUCGGGACUUCCGCAUGGAAGAUUAGAGAAAGACCCGGCGGAGGUGGUUGGGCCCGCGGCCUGUCAGCUUGUUGGUGGGGUAAUGGACUACCAAGGCAAUGAAGGGUAGCUGUGAUGAGAGACCGACCAGGCAGAUUGGGACUGAGAGACGGCCCAGACUCCAACGUGAGGCAGCAGUGGGGAAUCUGGCACAAUAGGCGAAAGUCUGAUGCAGCGACGCCGCGUGCGGGAUGAAGGCCUUCGGGUGGUAAACCGCUGUCAGCAGAGACGAGGCGAAAGUGACGGUACCUGCAGAAGAAGCCCCGGCUAACUACGUG
rnacentral:rRNA from 1 species